GGAAGGAUCAUCACUGAUUCUCACGGGAGGAGUGUGCGUCGCGCUAUCGCGUGCACGCCGCGCCUCCCAAACAAUCUUUUGUGCACGGUUUCACGGUCAACAACUAGAGACGCGCCGCGUGUGUGUGUGUGUUGGCAAGAAGCGCCGCCCGCCCCAAUGGGGUGGGGUGGUGGCACACUUGCCAGCCGCGCGCACGCAUGUGCGUGUCUUUUGUUUUGCAACAACACACAUCCACUUGUACAAUCUCUGUCUAACGUUACCUAAAUUAUACAACAAUACAACUUUCAACAAUGGAUCUCUUGGCUCUCGCAUCGAUGAAGAACGCAGCAAAUUGCGAAAAUUAAUGUGCAUUGCAGUACGUGAAUCAUCGAGUCUUUGAACGCAACUUGCACUCUAGGUUCUCCUAGAGUAUGCCUAUUUGAGUAUCGGUACACCCCCACUCAAUCCCCACCCCCUCUUCCGCGCGUGCGUGGUAGUGGUGUGGUGGUGGUUUGGAUCGGAUGAGUCGUGCGUGCGCAUGCGCGCGCGUGCGUGUGCAUUUCCACACGCCGCCGCGCGCACACUGACUUUAAGUGUACACUGAAUCGGGCCUAUGUAUACUGUACAUGCGGCGCUGACGUGAUAAUCUCACACGUUUGAGAACACAACUCGUCAGACACACAUGCCACGUGUCGGUCAUAGGGACCCAGUCACACACACACACACAUAUACACACAAAUCUCGAUCUCAAAUUAGGUAGGACUACCCGCUGAAUUUAAGCAUAUCAAUAAGCGGAGGAAAAGAAACUAACAAGGAUUCCCCUAGUAACGGCGAGUGAAGCGGGAACAGCUCAAAUUUGAAAUCUGGCUUGGCACAUGCGCCGGGUCCGAGUUGUAAUUUACGGGUCCGCGUAUCGGUGACACGGGCUGGUAUAAUUUGCCUGGAAUGGCAAGUCAUAGAGGGUGAUAGUCCCGUCCAUGACCAGCCACGUGCGCGCCACACGUUACGCGGACGUAGAGUCGAGUUGUUUGGGAAUGCAGCUCAAAAUGGGAGGUAGAUUUCUUCUAAAGCUAAAUAACGGCGAGAGACCGAUAGCGAACAAGUACCGUGAGGGAAAGAUGAAAAGAACUCUGAAGAGAGAGUGAAACAGUACGUGAAAUUGUUGAAAGGGAAACGCUUGAAACCGCUAUGGUUGCGCGUAUGCGUGCCUGCCAACAUCAGUUUGCGGCUGCGGUACACAAGGCCGUGGGGAAUGUAGGACACGCUUUACCGCGUGUCUGUUUAUAGACCCGCGCGCACAUGCACUGCCCCGGACUGAGGUCUGCCGUCGCGCGCCUCGCGUGCACGACGUAGGAUGUUGGCUGAAUGGUUUUAAUCGACCCGUCUUGAAACACGGACCAAGGAGUCUAACAUGUAUGCGAGUAUUUGGGUGAUGAAACCCACGUGCGCAAUGAAAGUAAAUCAAGGAUGGGAAGCGCAUGCGCGCCGCACCAUCGACCGAACCCCUUACCGGGAUUUGAGUAGGAGCAUACAUGCUGGGACCCGAAAGAUGGUGAACUAUGCCUGAAUAGGGUGAAGCCAGAGGAAACUCUGGUGGAGGCUCGUAGCGAUUCUGACGUGCAAAUCGAUCGUCAAAUUUGGGUAUAGGGGCGAAAGACUAAUCGAACCAUCUAGUAGCUGGUUCCUGC
rnacentral:misc_RNA from 1 species